UACGUAGGUGGCAAGCGUUGUCCGGAUUUACUGGGCGUAAAGAGCGCGCAGGCGGUCGAUUAAGUCGAAUGUGAAAGCCCCCGGCUCAACUGGGGAGGGUCAUUCGAUACUGAUCGACUUGAAGGCAGGAGAGAGAAGUGGAAUUCCCGGUGUAGUGGUGAAAUGCGUAGAUAUCGGGAGGAACCCCAGAGGCGAAGGCGGCGCUCUGGCUCGCAACUGACGCUCAGACACGACAGCAUGGGGAGCGAACGGG
rnacentral:rRNA from 1 species